UUCUGGCGUUUGAUUGGAAAUGCAUAGGGAGUUGAAAAGAGAACACAGAAGGCUGAUGAUUCUUAUGGCAUUGCACACACUCAGUGUGAACCAGAGUGACUUGACACAACGGGCCAAGCAAGCUGUACAAACAAAACGGAAACGACACAGGACGUCUUAUUUAAUGAAAGCGGUUGCAGUGAAGCGUUCAUCCAUGUAUACGGUAGAACACGCCUGACUCUCCUCCACCAGUCAUACAAGGAGAAUGGUCUGAUGCCUCCCAUCAAAAAGAGAGCUGGCCCAAGCAAGCACAGGUUACAUCUGAAGCAUGAGGACUUGCAGCGAGUGGUUAACUUCAUCAACAACUACGCAGAGGAUAAUGCAAUAGUAUUACCAGGACGCCACCCACCCAGGACACAAACACUUUGGUGGAAAGCUCAGAUCAAGCAGUACUAGCACUUCAGCUUCGAUGCUCUGGAGCCUGGUGUUGUUGCCAAGGAGCGUUCGGAGUCAGUCAGGACCAGGUUUCAGCUGCUGCGCAAAGCUGACAUCCUUCCUCCCAUAGAUGGUCUGUACAAGCACCACCCGGACUGGACACAGCUAGACAAACUUAUCUUUUUGAGAAGAUCAGGGAGUUUUGCGACGUAGAGGCUAUGGACAUCACAUGCCCUGCGCCAAAGAAAAAGGGCAGGACAGAAACAGGCUCUCCGAAUAUAGAUUCCCUUGUUCAUGCGUGGUUCGGACAGACCAGUCAUCAGCACUAUCUUCAGUACCUCUAUUCAAAUUACUCUCUUCUAACACACACACGUCUGGACACUUUCUGUUUACCUGGAAUUUUUCCUUAUUGUAGGCUACCACUUUUAGUCUUAAUCUUUACUACACGACUCACUGUUUAGCACAUGACCUCACAUGUGAAUCCUUAAAGAGAUGGGUGGGGAUGGCUUAAGAGGGUGUGAACAAUGCUGAAUGGGUG